AGAAAAGUGAUGUCUAGGAUGAUCAGUAAUUGUGAGCCAAUCUAGAUUGGCCUCACUAGAUGGAGAGUCAGGAUUCAUGAGUUCCACAUUUACUAAUAGUAAUCAGUUCAGAGAAAAUUUUCCAUUGCUAAAAAUGAAUGAUGGUUGAUAGUCUAAGUUUCAGCAAGUGAAGAAAAGUGGCGUCUAGUCUACGAUCAAUCAGUCAUUCUGAACCAUUCUAGGUGGGCUCUAGAUGGGCAGCCAAGACAUAAGUACGCCAUUUGUUUGAGUGUAAUCAGGUUAGAGAAAAUAUUCAGAAGGUAAAAGCAAUGAUGGGUAGAAGUCAGGGUUCAGUAUGGAACACUGCAGAAAAAGUGAUGUCAAUGAUCAAUCAAUAAUUGUGAUCCAUUCUAGCUGGGUCCCGCUAGAUGGACAGUCAAGAGUCAUGAGUUACUCAUUUAAUGAGAGCAUCAAUAUGUCAAACUAGAGAACCAUUCAUUUCAAUACUUGAAUUCUAUGACUCAUCACUUCAGAGCAUUAUAUUCAAACCUCAUGCUCAUACGAGCAAAGCUUGAUGAUUCGUUGGUCAAGGACUGAAAGCUAGAAAUACCUGCGAAACCAAAACAAAAUAAAAUUAAAAAUAAUGACAUGAGAAGGCAUGCACAUAUCCAGGAAUCAGAUGGAUGGCAAAAGCAAGUUGUGAUACUAAAAGAAAUCAAGUUAUGACUACUCUCCAAAAUGUCUGAGAAACCCAUCAAAUAUCCAAAAGCCCAUAACUUUAAGAAAAUAAAAAUAAAAAUAAACCAAAAC